rfam:Mycobacterium smegmatis str. MC2 155, complete genome.
CGUCAUAGACACCGCGAGUGUGAAACCUCUGCGAAAAAUCGGCAGAUUUCUCGCAGAGGUUUC